AAAAAAAAACUAAAUUAAGUGGUCGAGCUUUCAUAUUGAUGCAAAUAGCUUUACUCCUAGUGCUGUUAGGAUUAAAAUGUUUGAAUCAAUAUUGAACAGAUGUGAACAUACAAAAUGUAGAUCGUCUUUGAUUUUGUUUUGUUUUGUUAUAAUGUUUAUUUGGGGUCAUGUCGCUUAAACAUUACCCAGUAAACACCUGACGUCGUACCGAUGUUGGUUAGACGUUGGAUUUUGGUCGCGACGUCGGCGACCUGAAUCCAACGUCUAACCAACGUCAUAUCCACGACGUCUAAUAGACGUCAGACUUAGACGUCUAGAAGACGUUGGCAUUAGGUUGGAUAGAAAGUCUGAUAAAUGUUUUUAGUUAUAAAACUAACUGGUAUAAUUUUACUAGUAUAGUUUAAAGAUAUUUACUUGUUUUCAUAAAGGCCUGGACAUGCGCUUAUUAAUAAUAGUUCUUUCUCACAACAAACAUUAUAUUAAUUAUGUUACAAUAUCGCAUGAGAUUGUCUAUUUUCGGAGACGGAUUUUUUACGAACUUUAAACUGUUAAAGAUUAAAUGCAUUCUAUACACAUAUAUAAAUUAUUCUAAAUUCACAUAGAUCUUCUCUUCUACACAUGUUGUCUAUCAGUCACACAUUCGCGAGAUAAGCCUGCAUCGGUUUACACAGUCUUCCUGUAAUUUGAUAUUUAUUGGGAUAAGAUAGAGCAAGUUUAUAAAUACUUUACACAAAGGGAAGGAUCCGCAACGUGGAAAUGUUGGCGGAGUUGAAGAAUCAUACAAAAAUGACGAAACUUGAAAGUUUCAAUUACUGCAUUACUUUUUGGACUUAUUGUAUUAGACUUACGUCGCCAUAAUAUGAAAUAAAGAUGAUAAAAUACA